rnacentral:rRNA from 1 species
GAGUUCGCCAAUCUUUGGGGAAUGCUUCAAGAUGUUACUCUCAGCCUGGAUAGGGAGGAUACUAUACAUUGGAAAUUCACCUCUACCAAUGAAUAUUCAGCGGCCACUUCCUACAUGGUGCAGUUUGUGGGAUAAGUUCUCAGCUCGACCUCUACCACGAUAUGGAAGACUUGGGCUCCACCGAAAUGCAAUUUUUUUUCUUGGUUGAUCAUCCAAAAUCGUGUGUGGACGGCCGAUCGGUUGCAACGGCGGGGAUGGCCGAACUGCGGCUUCUAG